UACGGAGGGUGCAAGCGUUGUCCGGAUUUAUUGGGUUUAAAGGGUGCGUAGGCGGCCGAUUAAGUCUGGGGUGAAAGCCCGUUGCUCAACAACGGAACUGCCCUGGAAACUGGUUGGCUUGAGUACAGACGAGGGUGGCGGAAUGGAUGGUGUAGCGGUGAAAUGCAUAGAUACCAUCCAGAACCCCCGAUUGCGAAGCAGACUGC
rnacentral:rRNA from 1 species